AAGUAUCACUCAGUCACUCACUCUAGUAUCAAAAUGGCUGACAACAGUGGCAUAACGAAGGUCGACAAAUUGUCGCAAGCCGAUUCCGAUAAAUAUUUCAUCAACAAAGUUGAAAAGAACAGAGCCCGAUUGGGAACGAAAAUGGUUGCAUUGAAGGGCAAGAACAAAUUUGUUGGUUUCUUCCUGGCAUGUGGAGUUUUUGGUAUAUAUUCCUAUACAAUGUUUUCUGUUCGUCAAGGGAAACUCCUGGAAGAAUUUGACAAAGUGCCGGAGUGAUGAUGAACAGACUGUGAUGACUUGGCUUGUGUGUGCAUGUGAAUGUGAGCAUGGUGGACUGAUACUGUCACCUUCAAGAAUCGACACCAUAAGUUAACAAGCGAGGAAUGCUGGAAAGUUACAAAACUGGUUCCGUUUGUUUUCCUUCUGUUGAGGCACAAAAGAUUUAAAUUUAAAAUUUAGAUUAGAUUCAGCAUUGGAUUGUCACAAGAUAUUAUAUACUAUUUAUAGAGAUUAUAUUGAAAGCAAUUUAUUUCUUAUGAAGGAUUGUGGAAUGUAACUAGUACUUACUUUACCGUGUGAAAGUACUCUGUUUGCUAUCCCUUGGAUGCCCAGCUUUGUUUUAUGAAUCAUAUUUGCUGAUGAACAUUGUACUUUUCAUCCUGGGGUAUUGUGGGCUCUGUGCCUCCUUUUGUAAAGUUCAGAGUAAAAGUACCUUUUUUUUUAAGCUUUGCUGACUCUGUGUUGAUGUACAAAAGUCGAGUUUAGGAUUAAGAGAGGCUGACUGGUCUGGUUGUGACUCAAAGACUUAGGGUGUCUGAUAAGUGAAAGGCAGGAUGGAGUUUCAGUUUAUAUAUUUUAGUUUGAAUGAGAGUCUGUUAUGAUCAUGACUAAAUGUUAUAAGAAGGAACGGUUUUUCAUUUUAAAGGCUAAGGUGUGAGUGAGUAGAACUGUCCAAGAGAAAAUGUGUGGUGCUGUGAUUUUGAUAAUGACUUGGUUGGCUGUACUUUUGUAAACUGUUAUGCCAUUGUUAAGUUUGUUUUGUUUGGUGUUGAAAUAAACCUGAAUAAGCCAUUUUUGAAAGUGAAA